GGCGGAAGAUGAAUAAAUAUAUCAACAAAAUUAUGUAUAAUUACUUUAGCAGUUAUUAAUUAUAAAAGAUCUACAACUGAUUAACGCAUACAACAGAAUCGCGUGUUAUGUUUAUGUUUACAAUAAACAUAGACGUAUACAGUAUCGUAUAUAAAGUGAGUAUGCCAAAUUUGCACCCUCUGUACUCUUCACUUCGAUCUGCUCAACCGUUAUAAACGUUUCUGAUAAUCGAUAAUAUAAUAAAAUCCCGUUAAUAAUAAAUUUAUUAUUAACGGGAUUUUAUCUAUUCUUCUUUACUUUUUCGCUUACAGAAUGUACCUAAAUUAUUUUAUUCUCCGAGAAAGCAAAUAUAUAUUUUUGAAGUGUAAACAAUUGGGAAUGCAACCGAUUUGAAUGUUUACUAUGGACUUCUCAACUUUGCUUUUGUUUCUUAAGCGACCAACUCAAUAUGCAUUGCAUUGUCCGUUAAAUGCCCUCAGCAUGAUUCCAGUUUGAUAUCCCUGAUAUAUAAGUGUGUAUAUAUAUAUAUAUAGACUAAGAGCAAAGUCCAGAGUACCAGAGAACUUGUUUCACAAAAUAAACUCGAAAAUAUGACGUGUUUCCAAAUUUUCGGCUUUGUUUAAUUUCGUGAAUAAUACAUCUGUUAUGUGAUAUUUUAUUGAGACGGUGAGGAAAAACUUCCAAUCGAAACCAAAAAAAAAAAAAGGAAGUAUCAAAGAAGACUAAUUUAUGUAUUUUUCAGUCAUCCAUGCGAAAUGAAUACUGAUGUGAUUAAUGUGUAGAAUUAUUUAUUCUAUUAUUGAAAGAGAUGAAAAUGGUAAUGGGGGUAGAGAGAGAGAAUGAGAGAGCGUUUUAAUAAAUUUAAAAUUAAAUUUUAUAUGCAUUUAAUUAAAUUUUAAUUAGGUAACAGCUUAUAAAGAAACAUUAAUAAAUGAUUUAAUCAAUUAAUUAGAAAUUAAACCAAAUAAGAGUAGUGGAUAAUUGCUUCUUCCAAGUGUAUUUUAUGCAAGAUUGAAAGGGAUUAAUGCAAAUUCCCGUUUGAUUGAUUCGAAAUACUUAAACAGGGGGGCUUUUUCCCAAAGAUUUAUUUACCAGAUAAACUCUUAAUGACAGAUUAUCGUAAAGACGUUAUAAGAUGCAAGAAAGGAUCGUCGAGCAAAUAAUAAUAAUAAUAAUAACAACAACAAUAAUAAGAGAAUUGUUAAAAUAGUCUCUUCCGAAUGACCAAUCCUGGUAAUAAUGAUGGAACAGAUGCGAGAAGCGCUUCUUUUCAUAACUGGCUGUGUGUGUGUUGACCGAUUUUCUGGUAGGAUUUUCUGCUUGACUCGCGAUGACGCAUGAUGGAUGGCGUCGAGACGGCGGAGACGCGAACCCUGCCUACGUCACCUAGCGAGAAACGCAUUCUUUAUCAGAACUGGUUAAACAGUUCGCCGCAGGUUGAGAGAACAAGAGAAGAUAAGAGGAGUUACCCCCAAGGUCCGUUGCAUCCCCUCUUAUCUCGUUGUGUCCCCUCUUCUCCAUCUCUUUCGUAAUGACUCCCCAGUCUAUGUAGUAGCCCACGGGAUGAAAUUAAACACCCCUUGUCAGUCUAAAGCUAACUGGCUUUAACUGGUGCCUAGGCUUUGAUUCUGUGAGCAUCAGAAAGAAUGGAUAUUUUUGAACUUAAUUAUUGUUUUACUAGAAAAUAUUUUACAAACAUGUUUGCCUAACUCCGUUGUUAUGAAUGGAAUAUGUAUGUUUGCUCGCAUAAUCCUUUACAGGUUUUAAAUUACCAUACAAAAGAUCGAAAAUUCCGGUUUUUAAAAAUUCUAACGUUAAACCAACUUUAGAAUGUCAAUAAAACUUAUUGUAUUAGUGAGCGUUUUAAACAGUAACCCAGAGAAAAAUAGGAUAUUAUUAAUUUUCACACCCCAAAGACGUAAUUUUAUCUUUAUGGCUCGGUCCGGGCAUUAUAAGGAUAACACGGAAUUAUAUAGAUACUACCUAUUGAAUUUAGUUAUAUAUAUAGAUAUAUAUAGGUAUAGGAUACUUUGGCAAAACUCGAUGCAGGUGGUGCCUUAAAGACGCCAUGGGUGGCAAAUCCAUUUCCAUCAUCACCAUAUCAAGAAAUGACAGGUUAAGGACACCACUAGGACGCUUCCUAUUUGAAACGGUUCGAUGCGAUCGUUAGGAUAUAGUCCACCACUUAUGCCUCCACCCCUGACUGGACUGUUUACGUUGGGCGUUGUUAUGGCAACGCAGGAUUUACAGGUCUGUUUACCUUCUCUCAAUUUCUUGGCCCGCUGAUCACGGCGAAAGGUCAACUUCCAGGUCCAAAGGAUCAUCAUCUUAUCGAUUACCGGUACGAUUGGUUCUAUUUCCAAACUCUUAAAUUCUCCAUUCGUUUGGAUAAAAAUUGAAAAAAAAAAAAAUGAUCAUUUUACUAAAAUAUCGAUUGUUCGAUGAAGUUAAUGUUGAUCGAAGUAAGACGAUUAGAAAUAUAUAUAUAAAUUUUGUGAAAUUUUUAUUCUUUUUGUAUCCAUCGGCUCGGUUCUGAUUU
rnacentral:lncRNA from 1 species